CGGUUGAGCACUUAAACUGAGUCAUCCAAGUAGAGACUGUUUACCUACAAAGACAUUUUAAAUUAUGGGAUUGAAUUGAGUUUAAUAAAUUGGACUCAAUCUUGUCCCCUCUCCCCUCCUGCUUCUACCCAGAAGAUGGGAGCUUGUAAGAUCAAGCCGGCUGCAGACUCCAGUAGCAGGUUGUGUCCGGUUGUGUCAUACCACCACUGUGCUGGAGGUCCUGGCUCAGAAACACUUGGAUGAAUCCCUCAGGUUGCGUCUCUUCUGAGUGCCCUUUCUUGAAGUGGACUUAGGCUGGUUGAAGCAUAGCCUUUCUUCCUGGGAGCAGGUGGCCUCUGUUUUACGGACACACUUCUUGAACGUUCUGCUUCAGGAGUGGGACUGGUGG
rnacentral:lncRNA from 1 species